rnacentral:rRNA from 1 species
GACGAACGCUGGCGGCGUGCCUAACACAUGCAAGUCGAACGAGAAACCGGUGCUUGCACCGGUGGACAGUGGCGAACGGGUGAGUAACACGUGAGAAACCUGCCCCGGAGACCGGGACAACCAUUGGAAACGAUGGCUAAUACCGGAUGCCCUCAGCUGGCCGCAUGGCCUACUGAGGAAAUGCUCUGGCGCUCUGGGAGGGUCUCGCGGCCUAUCAGCUAGUUGGUGGGUAACGGCCUACCAAGGCAUCGACGGGUAGCUGGUCUGAGAGGACGAUCAGCCACACUGGGACUGAGACACGGCCCAGACUUCUACGGAAGGCAGCAGUGGGGAAUAUUGCGCAAUGGGCGAAAGCCUGACGCAGCAACGCCGCGUGAGGGAUGACAGCUUUCGGGUUGUAAACCUCUUUCAGUGAUGACGAAAAUGACGGUAAUCACAGAAGAAGGUCCGGCCAACUACGUG